UGGGGAAUUUUGCGCAAUGGGGGAAACCCUGACGCAGCAACGCCGCGUGGAGGAUGAAAUAUCUUGGUAUGUAAACUCCUUUCGAUGGGGACGAUAAUGACGGUACCCAUAGAAGAAGCCCCGGCUAACUUCGUGCCAGCAGCCGCGGUAAUACGAGGGGGGCAAGCGUUGUUCGGAAUUAUUGGGCGUAAAGGGUGCGUAGGCGGCUAGACAAGUCUUGUGUGAAAUCGAUGGGCUCAACCCAUCGCCUGCACGGGAAACUGUAGAGCUUGAGGAUGGGAGAGGUGAGUGGAAUUUCCGGUGUAGCGGUGAAAUGCGUAGAUAUCGGAAGGAACACCUGUGGCGAAAGCGGCUCACUGGACCAUUUCUGACGCUGAUGCACGAAAGCUAGGGGAGCAAAC
rnacentral:rRNA from 1 species